rnacentral:rRNA from 1 species
UUUUUUUUUUUCAAGCAGAAGACGGCAUACGAGAUUUCGCGGAGUGACUGGAGUUCAGACGUGUGCUCUUCCGAUCUGUUUCCCAGUCACGAUAUAGGCAGCAGUGAGGAAUGGUAAUAGGUAGGGGUCUGAGAGGACGAUCGGCCACAUUGGAACUGAGACAAGGUCCAAACUUAUUCAAGGCAGCAGUGGGGAAUAUUGGACAAUGGGGGAAACCCUGAUCCAGCAAUUUUGCUAGGGCGAUAAACGGCUGUAAAAAGAACCAGGUCGUAAAGCUCUGUUGCUAAAAGAGAUAAUGCCAUCUUUUAGAAAAGUAGCCCCGGCUAAUCUCGUGCCAGCAGCCGCGGUAAUACGAGAGGGGCGUGCGUUAUUCACACGAAUUAGGCGUAAAGCGUCUUUAGGCGGUUUUUUGUCAGUUAGUAACUAAAAUUCAGAACGUAAUUCUGGAAUGUUUACUAAGACGGUUUUUCUAGAGUUUAAUCGGGGUUAGUAGUAUCUCUUCAAGAGGGUUAAAAUUCAUAGAAAGAAGAGAGAGGGCCAAGGGUGCAGGCAACUAACUAUAUUAAACUGACGCCAAAGGACUAAAGCGUAGGGAGCGAUCGGGAUUAGAAACCCCGGUAGUCUACGCCUUGACUGAUGAAAGUGAAACGUCAGAUAACUCUGCAUAUUAAAGCUAACGCGUUGAACUUUCCGCCUGAGGAGUACGACCGCAAGGUUGAAACUCAAAGGAAUUGACGGGGGUCUUUUAAAAACGGUGGAACAUGUGGUUUAAUCUGAUAAUCCGCGUAAAACCUUACCAGUUCUUACCAGGUGUUGCAUGGCUGUCGUCAGCCCGUGUCGUGAGGCGUGUCUCGAAAGAGCGUAACGGGCAGAACCCUUACUUGUAGUUGCAAGAAAUUAAAUUUCGCACUUUACAAGAGUUCUUGAGCUCAGUAGAAACUCUAUUAAUUUAGUUGUUUAAUACAGAGUUCUUGAGGAGGAGGGGAUGAGGUCAAGUCGUCAUGGCCUUUAUAAACUGGGCUACGCAUGUGUUACAAUGAUUAUGACAAAGAGUAGCAAUGAUUUGAAUCGGAGCAAAUCUCAAAAAAGUAAUCGCAGUUCGAAUUGUAGGCUGCAAUUCGCCUACAUAAAGUCGGAAUCGUUAGUAAUCGUAAAUCAGCACGUUACGGUGAAUGUUUUGGGGCCUUGUACACACCGCCCGUCACGUCAGGGGAGUAGGAUCGGCUCGAAGUGUUCGAAGUGUAUUUAAACGAGCUUUAAGUUUUCUUUUUUAUUAAAAAAGUGCUUAAAGGCUUUAUUUAUAUGGAGGC